rnacentral:rRNA from 1 species
GAUGAACGCUAGCGGCAGGCCUAAUACAUGCAAGUCGAACGGGAUCUGAGGGUAGCUUGCUACCCGAUUUGAGAGUGGCGCACGGGUGCGUAACGCGUGAGCAACCUACCCAUAUCAGGGGGAUAGCCCGAAGAAAUUCGGAUUAACACCGCAUAAUAAUACGCUAACACAUGUUAAUGUAUUUAAAUAUUUAUAGGAUAUGGAUGGGCUCGCGCGACAUUAGCUAGUUGGUAAGGUAACGGCUUACCAAGGCGACGAUGUCUAGGGGCUCUGAGAGAAGAAUCCCCCACACUGGUACUGAGACACGGACCAGACUCCUACGGGAGGCAGCAGUAAGGAAUAUUGGUCAAUGGGCGCGAGCCUGAACCAGCCAUGCCGCGUGCAGGAUGACUGCCCUAUGGGUUGUAAACUGCUUUUGUUAGGGAAUAAACCUACUUAUGUAUGAGUAGCUGAAUGUACCUAAAGAAUAAGGAUCGGCUAACUCCGUGCCAGCCGCCGCGGUAA